rnacentral:rRNA from 1 species
UGGGGAAUUUUGGACAAUGGGCGCAAGCCUGAUCCAGCCAUGCCGCGUGUGGGAAGAAGGCCUUCGGGUUGUAAACCACUUUUGUCAGGGAAGAAACGGCUCUUACUAAUAUUAGGAGCUAAUGACGGUACCUGAAGAAUAAGCACCGGCUAACUACGUGCCAGCAGCCGCGGUAAUACGUAGGGUGCAAGCGUUAAUCGGAAUUACUGGGCGUAAAGCGUGCGCAGGCGGCUUUGCAAGACAGAUGUGAAAUCCCCGGGCUCAACCUGGGAACUGCAUUUGUGACUGCAAGGCUAGAGUACGGUAGAGGGGGAUGGAAUUCCGCGUGUAGCAGUGAAAUGCGUAGAUAUGCGGAGGAACACCGAUGGCGAAGGCAAUCCCCUGGACCUGUACUGACGCUCAUGCACGAAAGCGUGGGGAGCAAACAGGAUUAGAUACCCCGGUAGUCCCUGAGCGGGCUGGCAAGGCG